rnacentral:rRNA from 1 species
GACGAACGCUGGCGGCGUGCUUAACACAUGCAAGUCGAACGGAAAGGCCCUGCUUGCAGGGUACUCGAGUGGCGAACGGGUGAGUAACACGUGGGUGAUCUGCCCUGCACUUCGGGAUAAGCUUGGGAAACUGGGUCUGAUACCGGAUAGGAGCCAUCUUUAGUGUGGUGGUUGGAAAGUUUUUUCGGUGUAGGAUGAGCUCGCGGCCUAUCAGCUUGUUGGUGGGGUAAUGGCCUACCAAGGCGGCGACGGGUAGCCGGCCUGAGAGGGUGUACGGCCACAUUGGGACUGAGAUACGGCCCAGACUCCUACGGGAGGCAGCAGUGGGGAAUAUUGCACAAUGGGCGCAAGCCUGAUGCAGCGACGCCGCGUGGGGGAUGAAGGCCUUCGGGUUGUAAACUCCUUUCGCUAGGGACGAAGCUUUUUUGUGACGGUACCUAGAUAAGAAGCACCGGCUAACUACGUG